AUGGGCGAAAGCCUGAUCCAGCAAUGCCGCGUGGGUGAAGAAGGUCUUCGGAUUGUAAAGCCCUUUCGACGGGGACGAUGAUGACGGUACCCGUAGAAGAAGCCCCGGCUAACUUCGUGCCAGCAGCCGCGGUAAUACGAAGGGGGCUAGCGUUACUCGGAUUGACUGGGCGUAAAGGGCGCGUAGGCGGCUUGUACAGUCAGACGUGAAAUUCCUGGGCUCAACCUGGGGGCUGCGUUUGAUACGUGCGGGCUUGAGUUCGGAAGAGGGUCGUGGAAUUCCCAGUGUAGAGGUGAAAUUCGUAGAUAUUGGGAAGAACACCGGUGGCGAAGGCGGCGACCUGGUCCGAUACUGACGCUGAGGCGCGAAAGCGUGGGGAGCAAACAGGAUUAGAUACCCUGGUAGUCCACGCCGUAAACGAUGUGCGCUGGAUGUUGGGUGACAUAGUCAUUCAGUGUCGUAGCUAACGCGAUAAGCGCACCGCCUGGGGAGUAC
rnacentral:rRNA from 1 species